CGGAGAGAGGGCCUCUCUCAGGCUCCCUGAUGAAGACUGAGGCCCACUGGAAAAGUGAAGAGAAUCUCUGCAAUAAAGACACACCAGACCACACCAGACCAGUGCUUGAAAAAGGGAAGAUACAGCUUGGGUGCAGGAGCCAGGAGUUCCAGGCAUGGAACUCAGGAAUGGGGUUGGGUGCACAGACCGAAGACCUCUGUGAGGAGUGGGGAGGCAGACCAGGAACAACCACUGCUCACACCCUCAGCUGGAGGCACCAGAGUCCAGAAUGUGAAAGACCAUGGAUUCCUCUUUUGAUGGUCACAGCUUUGAGAGUAAAGCUGAAGAGAUGGAGAAACACUGUCACAUGCACAUUGAUUGCAUAACAUACCUUGGUUUCAGAAAUAUUAAAAUGAGAAAAAUUGUACAUCUUAAAACUGAGAAAUUAUAUUAUCCACCAAAUAUCUAUUAGUCCACCCAAAGAAAGCAAUCUAAAUUAGAAUGGUAUACUUGCUAUGUAAAGCAAUCUCAAGAUAAUUUUCUUUCUUCCAUAUUCCAAUCAAUUU
rnacentral:lncRNA from 1 species